ensembl:lncRNA
AUAGGGAUCUAUGGGGUUUCUAUGGGGUUCUAUGGGGCUCUAUGGGGCUCUAUGGGUCUCUAUGGGGUCUCUAUGGGUCUCUAUGGGAUCUCUAUGGGGCUUUGUGGGGCUCUGUGGGUCUUUAUGGGGUCUCUAUGGGGCUCUAUGGGGCACUGCUGGGCACUAUGGGGUCUCUAUGGGGCUCUGUGCAGCUCUAUGGGGUUUCUAUGGGGCAGAAUGGGUCUCUACAGGAUCUCUAUGGGGCUCUAUGGGGUCUCUAUGGGGUUCUGUGGGGCUCUGUGGGGUCCCACCCCACACUUAUGGGGGUCCCAACCCAAACUUAUGGGUCCCACCCCACACUUAUGGGUCCCCACCCCACACUUGGGGGUCCCACCCCAAACUUAUGGGUCCCACUGCACACUUAUGGGUCCCACCCCACACUUGGGGGUCCCAAGCCAAAACUUAUGGGUCCUCACCCCAAACUUAUGGGUCCCACUGCACACUUAUGGGUCCCACCCCACACUUGUGGAUCCCACCCCACACUUAUGGGGGUCCCAAGCCAAAACUUAUGGGUCCCACCCCACACUUAUGGGUCCCACCCCACACUUGGGGUCCCACCCCACACUUAUGGGGGUCCCACGCCAAACUUAUGGGUCCCACCCCACACUUGUGGAUCCCACCCCACACUUGUGGGUCCCACCCCAAACUUAUGGGUCCCACUGCACACUUAUGGGUCCCACCCCAAACUUGUGGGUCCCACCCCACACUUGGGGGUCCCAUGCCAAAACUUAUGGGUCCCCACACCAAACUUGGGGGUCCCACCCCACACUUGGGGGUCCCUCCCCAAACUUAUGGGUCCCACCCCACACUUGGGGUCCCACCCCAAACUUAUGGGUCCCACUGCACACUUAUGGGUCCCACCCCACACUUGUGGGUCCCACCCCACACUUAUGGGUCCCCCCCCCACACUUGGGGUCCCACCCCACACUUAUGGGUCCCACCCCACACUUGGGGGUCCCACCCCACACUUAUGGGGUCCCAGCCCACACUUAUGGGUCCCCACCCCACAAGCUCCUGUCGGGACACGUCGCUCCCCUGUCGCGUUGGGGCGUCAACCCCAUAAGUUCCCCCCCACACACACCCCACACCCCACACCCCACACCCCACACCCUACCCUACAGCUAUGGGGCGGCGCUUAUGGGGCCGAGGGGAGGCGUCGCGACCCCCCGCCCGCCCCACAUUUCACCCCAUUGAAGCUGUCCCUAUGCUGACCCCAUAAGCGGGGGAGGUGGGGGAACCCGUCGGGUGACUCCCGGCUCCGCCCCACACAUCCCCACCCCAGAAAUGUGGGGUGAAAUCGGUGGGGCUGAGAGAGGCCGGGAUCCCAUGGGCGCCCCACAGAUCGCCUUCCUCUUCCUCCUCUGCCUCUUCUUCAUCCUCGUCCCGAAAUCCGCCCCGCUGCCCCACUGCGAUGGGGACGGCUGGGAGAACGCAGCGCACGCAGGUGGGUGUGGGGCUGCCCCAUAAGUGUGGGGCCGCCCCANNNNNNNNNNNNNNNGGGGGGAAGGUGGGAAGAUGUGGGGCAGACCUACGUCUAUGGGGCGGCGUUGGGGACGUGGGGGCGCUAUGGGGCAGGGUGAGAUCUAUGGGGUU